ACACAUAGGUUUUGGCACAAGAGUGAAUCCUUACUAUUUGGACUUUUUUUGGGUCUAUAUUUAAAUGCACCUAAACAUAUUACAGAAUAUUAAACUUUCAAAGAAUUUUGUUUAAUGGGGUACCAAAUGUCAAAAUCUUUCAGUUUCUUUGCCAUCUUUGUUUUAGUUGCCGCAGUGAAAUUAAUACAGGUGGAAGGUGAUGGUGGUGAAUGCACAAAAAUUGUGGGUAGAUGUGAUGAAAUAAAUUGUGCAGUUCAUUGUCAAUCAUAUGCAAAAGAUGUUGCUGUUUUAGGAUCAUCAUGUUCAUUCUACGACUUAUGCAUUUGUGCUUUUGAUCGGUCUCCUCCAGGAUUAGUUCAACCUGCCUGUGAAGUUGGGUUGGCACAAUGCAAUGCUCCAUGUAGUGAUUCUUGUUGCAACGCAAAUUGUGUUAGCAAAUAUAAAAAUUUUGGGGGUGUUGGGAAAUGUGUUUUUUUUGCCCUUAAUAAGGCGUUUUGCCUUUGUACCUAUAGAGGUUGAGUUUAUUACUCUUAAUUGAAAUCAAUUUAAAUAAAUGGAAUCAAUAUAGUGUUCCUAUUAUUUUUCUUGA